rnacentral:rRNA from 1 species
GACGAACGCUGGCGGCGUGCUUAACACAUGCAAGUCGAACGGAAAGGCCCUGCUUGCAGGGUACUCGAGUGGCGAACGGGUGAGUAACACGUGGGUGAUCUGCCCUGCACUUCGGGAUAAGCUUGGGAAACUGGGUCUAAUACCGGAUAGGAGCCAUCUUUAGUGUGGUGGUUGGAAAGUUUUUUCGGUGUAGGAUGAGCUCGCGGCCUAUCAGCUUGUUGGUGGGGUAAUGGCCUACCAAGGCGGCGACGGGUAGCCGGCCUGAGAGGGUGUACGGCCACAUUGGGACUGAGAUACGGCCCAGACUCCUACGGGAGGCAGCAGUGGGGAAUAUUGCACAAUGGGCGCAAGCCUGAUGCAGCGACGCCGCGUGGGGGAUGAAGGCCUUCGGGUUGUAAACUCCUUUCGCUAGGGACGAAGCUUUUUUGUGACGGUACCUAGAUAAGAAGCGCCGGCUAACUACGUG